CAUCCCUUAAUAGCCUCUCAACAACUUGACUCAUGGUGGGUCUAACAUCUUUCUCUUCCUUUACACAAUCCAAAGCAACAUCUGCCAAAGUCUCCAUCUUCUUUACAUCAUAAUUUGAUCCCAAUUUAGGGUCAACAAUUUGCUCAACCCAACAACCAACUUCUAAUCCUUUUCUUCUUUUCUCCCUAACCCAUGUUACCAACCUCUCAUGACACAACUCUUCUUUGUCUUUGAUUUGGAUACCUGUUGUUGGACUCUUUCCGGUAAUCAUCUCCAACACAACGACUCCAUAGCUAUAAACAUCCACUUUUGAAGUGAUUUCCAUGUUGAAAACCCACUCAGGUGCCAUGUAACCUCUUGUCCCUCGAAUCCUCGAGAAUUUUGAAUGAUCAAAGUCGUCCCUAUUUAAUAGCUUGGACAAACCAAAAUCCGCUACCUUCGGUUGGUAAUCAGAGUCAACAAGUAUGUUUUGCGGCUUUAUAUCACAAUGCAAAAUCCACUCCAAACAUUCUUCGUGUAAAUAAGCAAGGCCCUUUGCAGUUCCCAUAGCAAUGUUAUACCUUUUACUCCAAUCAAGUUUAUUUGAUGAAAGAUUAUCGGCUAAAGUACCGUUUUCCAUGCACUCGUAAACCAACAAUCUAUGUUUUCCCUCAGCACAAUAGCCCCACAUACCAAUUAAGUUCAUGUGGUUAAGCCUUCCAAUGAUGCUUACUUCAGCAAGAAACUCACUCUCACUCUCUCCUUGAUUCGCUUCAUGCAAACGCUUUAUCGCAGCAACUCGAUUAUCAGAUAAAACACCCUUAUACACAGUUCCACAAGCACCCUUUCCAAUCUCUUGACUGAAAUUCUUUGUUGCAUGUUUUAGUUCAGAGUAGGUGAAUUUCGUAAAUCCUGUUGCUGCUGCUGCAAGAACAUAGUUGUGAUUUCCUUCACUAGAAUGCUUCCUGUUCUUUAAUAAGAAACACCAUACCAUAAAGAAGCAGAAGAACUCAAUUCCUCCCAAGCCACUUGCAAACCAAAGCAUGAACUUCACUGAUCGAUUGUCUUUGCCUUUGACAUAUAAUCUUACUAGUUGUUUUGGUGCAUUUUGUGAACAAACCAAGCUAUCAUCCUUGACAAUGUUCUCGUGGGAAAAAUCAAUAUUGUUUUUCGGCAAUAGCAAGAAAAUUGAUUUUUGGAAAUGUGGUGAAUGAAACCCAUUUAAAAACUUUGUCUUUGGGUGACAACUAUAAGUACCACUUUGCUUCCGAUAUGUGUAUUCAAAUCCGAUACACUCACACAGUCGCAUGCACAAAUGCUUACAUUGUUUAUAGGUAUAAUUUGCGUAAGUACCAUAAUCAUAUCCAUAAAAUUUGACAUGGGGUAAGUGUUGGAAGCGAGUAUUUGAACUUGUCUUGUUGUCACAUGAAAGUUGGAAGCUUGGUUUGCACCCUUGGAACCAGUCUUGAUUAUCGAUCCUGAUAUAACCUGGAAGGCACGAACACUUUCUACCACUACGGAAAUUAUAACUGCAAACGCCAUUGGGUCCACAAAUCCCCUGAAUAUUACAAGAACCUAUACGAAAUUGCGCUGAUACCGACCACUUCUCUUGUCCAUGUUUUCGGCUAUAAACACGAACGUUACCAUCAUGAUCAAGGGACAACCUUCGUUGGAGUAGUGUCCCAUAGUCACUAGUUGUUAUAGUGAAGUUAUCAGAAGAGCUGAAUUCCCCUAAAGGACUUAGUAUUGCAACCUUGCUACUGUUGUAGGUGGAUCUACCAGAUUGCCAACUGAGGAGCCAUGGAACUGGCCAGUAAACUCUUGAAACUUGAGGUCCAUCGUAGAUAAGACAGAGAAGAUUGUCGUAGUUGAAUAAAAGCUUGUAGAAGCCAGAUGAAUAGUCAUUCUUGCUUUUUGAGGAAAUGAGUUGCAUGUACCUUGUGAAACUUUGAUCAGGAAGGAGAGUAUCUGUUGGGGAAUCAAAACUCUGCCACAAGAAAUUGGAAACAAUAGUGUUGUGUUCUCGAAGAAUGAGAUUUCCUGUGUCGCACAAAAACAACUCAAGUUUUUUGGAUGAGUUAGUGUUUGUGGACCAAACGUUGAACUGUCCUGCGUCGGUUAAAAUGAGGUUGCCAGUUUUGAGAAGGGAAAGUGUUGAGCGUUUUCCGUUAACAGGUUGGUCACGAUUAGCCAUCCAAACAACGGUAGGAUUGGAAAGGUUUUUGUGUUUUUGAGUGAACCAUAUGGCGAAUGAAUAAGCAUUUUCACCUACGGGAUAAAAACCCGCGGUGAAUGUGCCUUUGGGUGAGACUAUAAUGUCAUUUUCAUGUCUCUCCACUGAGAGGGAAAAUGAUAAUGAAUGUUGAAAAUGGAAGAGCAAAAUGAAAAUUGUAAAGAAGAUUGGUGAAUGAAUCAUUAGAAUCAUGAUAUGUUAUUGCUGGAUUGUUUUGUUAUUCACUGUCAUCAUAUAUAUAUACACACAUGGUAUGGUAAUCAAAAAGGCAUGUGAACAAAAACAGGGGUAACUUCCUUAAAAUAAAAUAAAAACAUGGGUAACUUUUUGGUCUUCGUUCCUUCUCCCACGGCAUGAUCAUAAUUCUUCAUUUUACCCAAUUAAGUCACCCAACCUUUUUACUAGGAAACCAAACAAUGUCGUAGAAAUUAUCAAAGACAUUAGUGAGAUGAAACGAUUCGAUGAAUGAAUUAUGAGAUACAAUGAUUGUCCUUGUAUACACAUGUGGACGUGCCAACUUUAUACCAGUGUACUUUUUUUUUUUCCUAGAUAUCGUGCGCGUAACUGUAUAGAUUAAUUCAUCGAGUUAGAUAAGACCACAUUGAAUGUCAAAACUCUCACUCAAGAGAUUUAACAUUUAUGCAUACCCUGAGCUAGAUCUGAACAUUUGUUCUCCUUGUCAGAAUUUGGACCCUGAACCUCAAACUCUUUAACAUUUAACUCAAAACAGUUGAACUACACAAACGUUCUUAUAUAUGACACUCAAUGGCGUAGCCAAGACCUCAGGUCAGGAGGUGCAAUUUAAAAAAAAAUAAUAUGAUCAUUAUUGUUCUUUUUUUUUUAUAAAAGAGGGCCAAAGACCCAAUGGAAAAAAAAAAAAAAAAAAAACUCAAGUUUGCUAGCCAGUCAGCAUAUUUGUUGCCUUCACGCCACAUGUGAAUAACUUCAGUAUGUCAAUCCCGUCGAAGAAGCUCUUGAAUACGUCUUAUCAAGGAAGGAAUGGCUCCAUUGAAAAAGUGCAUCCAAACCUUCAAUAUAUGCUAACAGGACUAUCCCAUUUCAUUGUGAAAUCUGCUUAACUUGCCCUCCCUUUCUUCAAGCUCCUCAGAAAAGAGGCAGCCUUCAAGUGGAUCUAUGAAUGUGAAGUUGGUCUCACACAUGUCAAACAUUCGUUAUCAAGACCUCAUGUGCUCUCAAGAUCCGAACAAGGUGAAACCCUACUUAUAUCUUUCUGUUGCUGCUGAAGCUGUUAGUGCAACACUUGUUAGAGAAAUUAAAGAUGAUCAAAGAUAGUUUACUUUAUGAGAAAGCUCUCCAAGGGCUGGAAAUCAAGCAUCAAAAGAUCGAAAAACAUCGCGCUUAUAAUAGUGAUCGGAGGAAGUACAUACUAUAUAUGAAAUUAUUGUCAUUAAAGAAAAACUUUAUAGUAUGAAAAUAAUAUUUUCCGCAUAAUUUUUUCCAUGCUAUUUCGUUGAGAAAAUAUGUCCCGGGUCAUUUUCUUUACUGCUAUUUUCUUUGGGAAAUAAUAUUUUUGGGGUCGUUUUCCCUGCUAUUUCAUUUGCACUUUUCUUCUUACUUUAAUGGUUGGUAUCUCGGAUAAUAUUUUCAAACAUACAAAUUCUUUGUAGUUGGUCCAAAGUGCAUUUAAUUUUUAAAUUGUUGGAUCUUGACGGUGCGUAGCUGCGAUAAUAGCAAGAUUCUAAAGUGCAACAAUUAAGAAUUGAGAUACUGUAAAAAAGAAUAGAGAUUGUAUGUCCGAGAAAAUCUUAUCUUUGACUGUAAUAUAAUUUGAGCAUUAAAUUAAUAGGGUUUUUCUAACUUGUGCAAAGAUUGCACAGUUAAGCUCCAAUAAAUGCACUAUUUUUUUUGUUUUUCUAAAUCUUAUUAAUUAGUCUUUCUUUUGAAAAUUGAUUUUUUUUCAUCUCUCUUCUAUUAACUGCUAUAAUUUCGGUGCACUGAGAAAUAUAGAGAAAGUUAAAAUUCAAAUUCCACAAACACAUUAAACUGAACAUUUUAUUCUUUUGUCACGCGACUUUUUCCUUCAACUUUGAAAAAGUCUGUUAAGAUAUGGCAAAUCGAAAGGAACCAGACCAUUUGUACUCGUAUGAUUGUUAUACCACACUAAGUUAAUACCUUAAUUUGCUUUCACAUAUUUUUUUUGCUUUCACGUUUUUUUUUUUUAUUUCUUCAUUUGUUCUUAUUUGUUUUGUCAAUUACUUUCAUAUUUUUUUCGUUCUUUCAAAAGGAACCAAACCAUUUGAAAAUAGGGUAACAGACCAAAAGAAAAUCUUACUUCUUCUUUCAAAUUAAUAUAUUUGUUCUCAUUAUUAAGUCUGCAGGUGAGUAGUUAGCCAAAGAGUGGGAGGCUAUAGUUGUUUUUUUGGUUCACAUCACGAUAUAAAAGAAUGGUUUCAUGUUGUUACAGUUGUCUUUCACAAUAAAAAUAAAUAAAAUAAGUCACAAAGUGGUUUUAACGUAGAAAGCACCCGUAGGUAAGUACUCCCUCCGUUCCUUUAUAAUUGUCACUUUUGCAUACAAAAUUUGUUUUCAAUUAACUGUCGUUUUCAAAGUCCAAUGUAUCAUUAAAUGUGGUUUUACCUAUAUUACCCUUAUAUAUUUAUUGCUGAGAGAGAAAUAUAUGGAAUGAAGUAUUAAAUUAUUAAGGUUAUUAUAGAAAAAAGAUAAAUUGUUGUAUCAAAAGUAGUAAAAGCAUUUGUUGUCUUGAUUUGUGUAAAAAGUCAAAAUGUGACAAUUAAAAAGGGACAGAGGGAGUAUGAGAGAGGGUUUCAGAAAAAAAAGGAGAGAGAGAAAGAAAAGUCUAAUUAAUUGGCUAAUUAAUAGGAUUUAGAAAAAUAUAAAAAGUAGUGCAUUUAUUGGAGCUUAAGCUGUGCAAUCUUAUACAAGUUAGAAAAACCCAAAUUAAUAUAGGAUAAAAGGAGGGGUGACUCUAACCAUGGGCAGGAGGGGCGGCAAUCUAAGACAUAAUAUAUUCAUACAUUACAAUAACAAUAUUUAUACAUAGUAAAUCCAUACAUUUGAUUUCUAAACAAAUAAAAAAGUUAAUUACAAAGUUAUUUGAUUAAGCAAAAACAUGAAUAUUGUUCAUCACAUUUAAUAAAAACUAAGUUUCUUGAUGCAACACAAACAUAACUAAAAUUCAUAACAUUUAAGAAAAACAAAGUUUCUUGCUUAAAAAAACAUAAUAAAGUUUAUCAUAUUCGACAAAAUAAAACUUCUUGAUUCAACAAAUUCACGGUGAUAAAUGUAAUUUACUAGUGGGUAAAGGUAUUUGUGGAUGCGGAUCAAUCAAAUAUGAAUCCAUUAAAUAGCAAGUAGUUGAAAUAUCCAUUUAUUUUAUCCAUUGAUAUCCAUUAAGGUAUCCACUUUGAGUCCGUGACAGAUUUUAUCCGUAGAUACAUGAGUGCGGAUUUUGUGAUCCCUAACUAUGACACAUAGUUAUUAACCUAUUUAUUUUUUUAAUAAUUAUUAUUUAUGCUUAAUUUUUAAAUAUAUGAUUAUAAUAUUUAAAGUGGUUUCAGAGAAGUGGUUAGCAUUAUUUUAGUUUAUUCUUUGUUCUUGAUUUUAAUAUUUCAUAAAAUUGAAGUUGUUUAUGUAACAUACAAAAAAUGGGAUCAGUGCCGGGUUUGUUUUUUUCCUUGGGACCAAAACAAUAUAUAUACUCAUUUAAGAAUUCUAUCAAAGUUACAAACAAACAAAAAAUAAAGUGAUAACUAAUCUUAAUGGAAUCUUUACAUAAAAAAUUGAAAAUAAAAAUAGUGGUCCAAUUACAACAGUCAAAUUAAUAAUUUAAGUGUUGCUAUCUACAAUUAUCCCUUUCUCUCUUAUUGAAUCUUAACUUUGGACUCACACUUUGACCAACAUCUAUAAGUAAAUCUAAGUAUUAUUCCUAGUUGCUCAUGUUGGACUUUAAUUUUGACAUUCAAUCAUAGAAAGCAUAUAAAAGGAAUUACUUCAGCACAAUUAGCUGAUCUAGGAAUAAAUAAUGCUUAAUCAAAAUGAUUUGAGGUUUUUAUGCAACGUGGUUUGGAAUGCACUUCAAGAGUUGGAAGCUGAAGAAAUCAAUUCUUUGAAAACUUUGUUAAACUAACCAAUUUAUCCCAUUGCAUUUGCUUAUUUCAAACAUGAAACAAUUCAUUCAUUAAUAUAUCUACUGAUGAUAGUAGACUUGACUAUCAGUGUUGUACAUUUCUCUAGCUUAGUUUCCUUUCAGGGAAAUGGCUCAACAGCUUGAGGGUAUCUGUGACAUAGCAGUUGCAAAAGGUGGAUCCUCCUAUAUGAACCUCAAUGUAUUUUAGAAGACUUUUUGUGUGAUCAAUGCAAUUUAAAAACCGAACCAUACAUCGAACCAGCGAGACUUUAUGGUUAUAGAAUUAUAGUUAGACAAAACUGUGAUCGAACCACUCAAAUAACCAAAUUUUAGACACUGCCAGUUUAAGGUUUAACCGAUUGAACCGUCUUAUUCGAUUUUGAAAUAUUGUUUCAAGGUCAUUGGAUACAUGGAGCUUGUUUCUUCGUGACAAGUAUAGAACAGGCAUAUAAGCAACAGAAAUGUGAAAACUAUGAUCACAUUCUAAACACUAAUUAUUUAAAUGUUACCUCCAAAAUUGUGAUAACAUCCUCCUUGAAUCAAAUUACAUGUAGAAAAUAAUGGAAACAGAAGUAUUAAAUGUGUACACUAUCAAUAAUCAUGGUCAUCCCUUAAUAGCCUCUCAACAACUUGACUCAUGGUAGGUCUAACAUCUUUAUCUUCUUGUACACAAUCCAAAGCAACAUUUGCCAAUGUCUCCAUCUUCUUUACAUCAUAAUUUGAUCCCAAUUUUGGGUCUACAAUUUGUGCCACCCAACAACCAACUUCUACUCCUUUUCUUCUUUUUUCCCUAACCCAUGUUACCAACCUCUCAUGACACAACUCUUCUUUGUCUUUGAUUUGGAUACCUGUUGUUGGACUCUUUCCGGUAAUCAUCUCCAACACAACGACUCCAUAGCUAUAAACGUCCACUUUAGAAGUGAUUUGCAUGUUGAAAACCCAUUCAG
rnacentral:lncRNA from 1 species